rnacentral:tRNA from 1 species
UCAAGGAAUAGUUUAAGUAGAAUAUCAGCUUUGGG